CCAACGCACGGACUGUGUGUGUGUUUAUAAGAACCUCACGUUCUGAGUCUUCAGGCACAUAAAUGUUACCUUGGACUGUUGCUACUUAAACACUAAUUUAAAAACACAAAAUAAAAAGAAAAACUUCCCAUGAUCAACUAAAUGUACUCUUGAGGCUUUUACAAGAAGUGGCAUAGGGAAGUAGAGCUUUCCUUUUACAUAAUGUGACUCGUUAACAAAAUCCGUCUUUCCUUCCACCUACGUAAUGAAUGGUGUACCUACCUUACCAGCAUUAGAGUCAUUAGUAGUUUUGUUUUUUAACAUUCCGAGAGGGGUAAACACCUUAAACAUGUCAAUUACUGCACAUUUAGCAUGAAUUCACAUAUCAAACUCUCUCACAGGAAAGACUACUUAAAACUAGCGCGAAAAGGGCAUGCUGACAGAAGAAUGUGGAGCAGAAAGACAUGUGAGGGGAAAAAAGUCAGUGUUAAAGAGAAGCCAUGCGAUGGAGGCUGACAUGGCCAAGAGAGCACCUCGGACAAGAAGGCAGCAGGACGGCCUCCCGGCAGAUGGGAAGGGGCAGUGAGGUCUGUGUGCACGUGUGAGGAUACUUAAGAGAACACCACUGACCUGCUGGCCCACGCGCUGACCUUCGUGAAACUAAAGGUGCUAAGAUUUGAGCCCUGGCUGUUCAGAAAAGAAGACACAUGGCCAGAGAUAUAAAUAUGCAAAUGCCUAUACUUUUCUCAAGUCAAAGAGACAGUUCUCACUCUCUGGAAAGAAAAGAAAUGCAUUAGUUGGUGACUGAGGUCUUUGGGGAGCAGAAGCCAACCCACUAAAGUCCAAACAAGCUCAAAUGUUACCAACAUGCAAAUUCCCAAAUAUGGAAAGAUGGUAUCUCAUCCUCCAAUUCCACUGAUAGACAGUAUUUGGUAUACUCUAAUCUUACCUUAUUUAGCCAUUCUGCUCUUUCA